CUAGGAUUGCAACCCCUGCCUUUUUUUGUUUUCCUUUUGUUUGGUAGAUCUAGAAAAGGCUUUCAAUAAAAUUCAAUGCCUCUCCAUAUUAAAAACUCCAAAAAAUCUGGGGUAUUGAAGAAACAUAACUCAAAAUGAUGAGCUGUUUUUGUACCAGUAUCAUGCUGUUUUGGUUACUGUAGCCCUGUAGUGUAGUUUGAAGUUGGGUAACGUGAUGCCUCCAGCUUCGUUCUUUUUGCUGAGGAUUGCUUGGCUAUUAGAGCUCUUUUUUUGGUUCUGCAUGAAUUUUGAAAUAGUUUGCUCUAGUUCUGUGAGGAAUGCGAUUGGUAGUUUAAUAGGGAUAGCUUGCAUCUGUAAAUUACUUUGGGCAGUAUAGCCAUUUUAAUGACAUUAAUUCUUCCUAUCCAUGAGAAUGAAAUGUUUUUCCGUUUGUUUAUGUCUUCUCUGAUUUCUUUGAGCAGUGUUUUGUAAUUCUCCUAGAGAUCUCCUAGAGAUCUUUCACCUCCCUGGUUAGCUGUAUUCCUAGGUAUUUUAGUUUUUCUGUGUGUAGCAAUUAUGAAUGGGAUUGUGUUCUUCAUUUGACUCUCUUCUUGACUUGAUGUAUAGGACUGCUAGUAAUUUUCACACAUUGAUUUUGUAUGCUAAGAUUUUGCUACAGUUUAUCAGCAGAAGCAGCUUUGGGGCCAAGACUGUGGGGUUUUCUGGACAUGGAAUCAUGUCAUCUGUAAACAGAGACAGUUUGAUUUGCUAUCUAUUCCUCUCUUCCUUCCUCUAUUUGGAUGCCCUUCCAGUUUUGCACAUUCAGUGUAAUGUUGGCUGUGGGUUUGUCAUGGCUAGCUCUCAUCAUCUUGGCACUUCUGACUAGAAGGGCAAGAGGGGCCAGUGUUGUUGUUCCCUGAAAGGUAAGUGCAGCCCACAAUUACAAAUGUAGUGAAGAAGAUACAUGCAUAUGUAUAAGUAAAUAUAAUUGAGAUAUAUUUAGCAGACAUAAUCAAUAGAGUUGAUGAGUGACUGACUGGAUGUGUGGGGAAUUUAUAUCACUCCCAGGUUUUUGACUUGGGCAACUGGACACUCACGAAGGAAAAAGAGGAUCCAAGGAGAGGAACUUGUCUGAGGACUGGGGUAGGGCUGAACAGCUGCAUUUGAGACUAGUGGAGGGUGGGCUGGGCAUGGGAUGCACAAAUGGAAAUUCCACUGGGUCUGCAGCUCACACAUGGGCAUGACCAGCAUAGAGAUAGAGAGGCCCCAACACUGCUGAGAAACUGUAAUUCCCUGGUGAUGGUGUCAGCUGAGAAGGGAAGGAAGCCCAUUUGAGGACACCGAUCAUUUGAGGACACUGAAGAAGGAGUGAGCAGACAAAAAGAAGCCCACAGAAGACAGGGAAGAAACAACUAGAGGGAGAAGCCAAGGCAAGCGUGUGUGGUAACAUAUAGGAACUGAGGGAGAGGACAUUUCAAGAUGGAGGGGAUGUCAUACAACAGGACUAUGCAAUGGUUUUUGACUGUGUCCACAGGAAGUCACAACAGGCAAGGGAAAGAAACCAGAACCCUGUCAUGGAGUUAAGGAGUGAGUCAGAGAGGAGAUGGGUAGGGACAGUGAGGUAAGGCCUCUUUUUAAGGAAUUUUGGCUGAAGGAUAGACUAGCUGGACACAUGCUUGGUGUGUGGGGUAGAGGGAGGAAUGAUGCGGGGUAGGAGAGCCUUGAGCCUGUGAGAAGAAUCUCCUAGAACAGAGAAGCUGAAGUUAAAGUUAUGGGAGAGAGUGGGGAUAACUGAGUGACAGAUAAUCAGUGACCUUUGCCAAGAGCACAGCCCUCUUUCACUGUCACAGAGAGGAAGGACAAAACAAUUGGUGUUCAAGAGUUUGUAGCACAAUAUUUUAACUAUGUCCUUUAAAAAGUUUCUCCACAGACACUACCCAAAGCAGUCCUUCACUACAGUGGCAGAUGGACCUGAACAUUUUCACCUGAAGCAGCAGAGGGAACUGCAGAGUCAGAUUUGGAAUCAUGUAUUUUCCACCAAUUUGACUUGAGAGUAUAGACCUUUGGGAUAUCAGCAUCAUGGAGCCAGAGCAUUAGCCGCCCCAGGAGCUGAGCAGAGAGCCUCAUUGUGAGAAGGUGAACUGAGGAGUCCUGGUCUGUCAAGGCAAGGUUACAGCUGAGCUUUUACCUCCUUCCCUAGGGCACAACAUGCAAAUCACCUGGUGGGUGCAGCAGUGUGGAAAGGGUCAAUGGUGGAGGGGUAUGUCUCUACUGUAAACAAUGUGAUAUAAAAUGUCCGUUGGAGUAAAACAAACAUAGUUCAAGUCAAGUAUGCCUGUAGCAGGUAAGGACAGGAAACACUAGGAUCUCCUCCCAGUGACGUGACUGAGCAUCCCUGCAGCCAUGAGGACAGCAGGAAACUUUAGUGGCUGCUCCAGGGAGGAUAUGGCAGCCAACACUGGAGGGUCUGUGGGGCUUGAACGCCCCAAGGAGUUAGGAAGGAAGAGGCUCUGGAAGGUGCCUUGGAGAGACCUGGCCCCUGUUCACACAGAAGAGGAGCAUGCACCCAUGACUGAGGCCUCAUGUCCUCUUCCUCAAAGACUCUCCAGGCAACUGCCUGAGCCCACCUGAUUCUACCCUCUGUGGACACAUUCCCUGGCACCACAACCUCUCCUUCCACACGGAGAGGCUGAGCUUCCUUGAGAGCUUUGUGUUUGGGGCCGUCACACUGUGCAGGGUCCCAAUGAGCGUCCUGCUCACAGGAGGAUGUGCAACAUCUCCAGGUUCCAAAGUAGUGUUUGUGAUGGUGAAAUCCCUUGAAUUUUGGUUAGAUGUGAGUCCCCACUUGUGAAUACCUUCUACAGACAUGUCAUUCUUUGUUUUGCAAAAUAUUUUCUAUAAAGCAUCCUUUCUUUGUUUUUGAACUUUUUUUUGGUUAGGAAUAUAAUUUUAAUUGCACUACCUUUAGUCUCCACACUGGUGAUUGUGGGAGUGAAAUCGAUAGAUUUUGGUUUGGAUGUGUGUUCUCACUCAUGAAUGGAAAAGUAAAGACUUGUCAUUCUUUGUAUGUGUGACAAAUUCCUUGCUGUAUUCCAUGAUUUCCUUUUUUUUGACAUUUCUGCUUGGAAAUACAAUUUUAAAUUCAUUCACAAUGGGAUCCAUCAUCUUAGAAUAGACAAUAAUUUCUGAUGUGAUUCAUUUCUUAACCAGAAAAAAAGAUAUUUUGUCCUUUUGAUACAAACAUUACUUUAAUCAUAUCACCUCAUGACAGGUAACUGACAUGCUCAUGAAAAAUUCAUAAAUAUUUUUGGAGCAUUAUUUUAAGUGACUCUAUGCAAAUCAUACAUUUUUCUAUACCAUUACUGUUAGAAUAUAGAAAUCAGAUUUAUUUUUAGGUAAUGACCACAUUGUGUAAAAAUAAUACAUUUACUUAUUUCAAAAUCUUUUAUUGAUUUUUAUGGCAACGUAAUAUAAAAAUUGUCAUUUAUCAAAACCUGCUGGAUUACAUCCUGCCUGGCCUUCUGCUUAGCAUAUCAGUGCUUCUGACAUCUCCCAGACCCAACCAGUGGUCUCUGCUAGACCUCCUCGAAGGAUAGAAUAAGUUUCAGAAGCUCUGCUUGGCUGCUGUGAUUUGACUCGGACUGAGUGACAUGACCUCAGGUCUCCUUGUACAAGGACUUCAUUAAACCUUUGGUGAUUAUAGAAGUAAAGCCCUACUCACUACAUUACUUUCCUGUGAGACUCCCAGUGGCACAGGCUUCACCCAGGAAGCCAGGCAGCAGUGCCUUCAACUCUGUGGUUCUUCACAAGUAACAUAUUUGGCCUCUUUUUGGAUCCACAUCAUCAACUACCAUAUCCACCACCAUCCACAUCCCAUCCACCAUAAUCAAGGGCAGUUUAAUUGAACAGUAGCUGACCUCUCCUAUGUUCUUUUGAUGUUCCCAUUCCUCCAGUCUGCCCAAUCUCAAAUUCUGAACUUUGGAAAAUAAAACAGUUUACAUCAUCCUGUAUUUUCUCAGUGAUCCAUGGAAAAUACGACAUUUUUAGUAUACUGUGUCUUCCAGCAUAUGCAUUUUGUUUUUAAAAACAACUUUUGAAAUGUUAUUAAAUCCCUUUUUCUAUCAGCAAGAGGUAAUUGUAAUCAAAGGAUUUUAGUAUUGGGAACUUGUGUCUGCUAUGAAAUGACAAAAUAUAUUUAACACUCACAACCUUGAUGUUACUGAUUGUCCUCAGCCAAUUCCCCCUGAGGAGAACUCGUGGAGAAUCCUGUCUCUACUGUCUCAUGGAGUGGAGAAGAAUGUGUGAAAUCAGUGUCUGACCCACUGCCACUGAACCUGUCUGGGACUCCAGAGGCCCGGUUGGAAACCUCAUAAAUCAAGAGCUGUGGAGACUGGCCUGGCUUCUGCAGGUACCAUUCCAAAUAGGUGUUUCCAUCCUCACUAUCCAAGAGGCUCUGACUAGACCUGCAGGAGAUGGAGGCCGGCUCUCCAAGGGUGACGGGCAGGGAGAGUGGAGUCUGGGUCAUCACAAUGUCCCCACUGGAUCCUGAAAUAACAGAGAAGCACAAGGAUAUAUAGACACAUUUUGACCAAGGUUCCUGAUUUCCCUUAAGAUAUUGAUUUACAGUUACAUAUAUUUUCAAGUUUGGAUUUAUAUCAUAAAAAGUAAACUUUCUAAAAUGAACCCAUUAUUUACUAGCCAGCAGGGAACUCUUUAUUUUCAAGAUCUUAACCAGAGCACUGGUCAUUGUUCCUGGGAGGUGAUGCAUGCUUAUUCCUGACACAAAAAUAUGAAUUCUUUUUCCUGGAGCAUAGACCAUGUGCCUCUAACAGAUUCUUGAAAUAAAUAUAUGAAGGUGUGGAGCCCCAGAACUCACCUUCCCACCCCAUUUUCCCACCUCAUUUUAAUGCUGUCCUUACCAGGGAGCCAGAGCAUUAGCAGUCCCAGGAGCUGAGCAGGGAGCCUCAUUGUGAGAAGGUGACCUGAGGAGUCGUGAUCAGUCAAGGCAAGGUUAGUGCUGAGCUUUUAUCUCACACUCACAAUGGAGGGACCUUUUUAGGGGACAAUAUGCAAAUCCCCUGGUGGGUGCAGUGAUGUGAAAAAGGUUGAUGGGGCAGGGGGAAUGUCUCUUCAGUGAACAACGUGACAUAAAAUGUUCGUUGGAGCAAAACAAACAUAGUUCAAGUCAAGUUCGCCUGUGGUCAAGGGAAGAAGGCUCUGACUGUGCAAGUUGGGACCUUAGGCAGGGACACAUUGUGCAGAGCAUGCCACACUGAGAAAGCACAAACACCCUGACAAUGUGGAAAUGUGUUUCUAGGAUGCAUCUCUGGGGGGGUAAAUGUUAUCCUGCAUGGCUCCCUCCAGUCAAUCUAGAGAAGAAAACAGCCCCAUUCCCACAAGCACUGAAGGGCAGAGGGCCUGCAAAUGAAAAGUGCUCCUGAGCGAGUUCAAGUGUUGCCUGGUGUCUGCUGUUUCCAGGACAACUGGUC